GGGGGGUCACAGCAGAGGCGUGGGAAGCUUGGCACAGCUUUUCUGUGUACAGUGAACUACUCAGCGCUCUCUCGGUCACCCCUCUCAUCACCCGUGGGCCUCCCGCCCACGUUGGGCAGCCGCUGGGUCGCCUGGUGUCCAGCUCCUUCCUCUUGAGUCUCCGUUCUGCAUCUUCCUGGCUUCUCCCCCGGCUUCCCCCGUCAGUCCUUUUCCCUCUUCCCGCCCAGGCCUGACGCCCCUGGCCCCUCCCUGUUCAGCGUCGCAUUAACCUGCAUUAACCCACACACCUCAGGCCUGUCCUGUUUCUCGGCUGCGGCCUCUCUGUGUUAUUAAUAGGGCUGCAGAUGAGUUAUGGUGCGGAGCUUUUUUUUUUUUUCCCCUAGAAAAAUUCCAGCCCAAGUUAUUUUUUCAGGCAAUGGGCUUUCAUUGAUUUUUCUCCCCCCCAGAUCAAUGAUUUUCUGCAGAAAAGCUCCCUGCUAUCCUGUGAAAUACGGGCCUGUGAGAGGGUUCCAGAGCCUCUGAGCUCUUCGGCUGCUGCACUCUGGCCCUCUCACCCACCCUCAUGCAUCCCCCACUGCCCACCCGCUGCACCCCCACACCCCCAGAACCGGCCUUGUCCCUCCCUUUCCAGGCCCUGGACCAGCGGGGUCGGGUCUGUGGGGAGUUUUUCUCCUCAGCCUCAGCACUGGCAAGGAAGCGGACUGGGUGCCUUCUUUGCUGCACUGCUUCCAGGACUUGCAGGGACCAGGGAGGCCAACACGUGCCCAGACUCCCUGGUAGCUGGGGUUCUGGGUGAAAACUGGGUUCUUUUGAUCAGAUGCCCAAUCCCCCCCCCCUUUUUUUUCUUGGCGGGAGGGGGCUUACCUGCAGCAUGUGAAAGUUCCCGGGCCAGGAACCAAACCUGCACCACAGCUAUAGCCAGAGCCACAGCAAAGGCAACGCUGGAUCCUUUAAGCCACUGAGCCACAAGAAAAGCCCCAGAUGCCCAAUUUGUGAAGGCUGAAGUAAAGUGUCAACUUUGGCGCAUGCAGGUAUCUGCAGUGUGUAAGCGACAGGCUGAAUUUAAAGCAGGACAUGACGCGCUAGCUAGCUGGCUAGUUCUCCCCGACCUGACACGGGGGCCGCGGGCUAUUUUCCAUGGGGAAUUGGAAAGAGGGGCUCCUGGAGCUCGCAUAGUGAGCCCCUGUCCCUGCAAGGGGUCCCAGGACUUGGUUUUCAGGAGAGCAGGAUCUCAGGGGCCUCAGGGCCUUCCGUGUCACUGCCUCUGUUUUCUGGUCCCUGGUCACCGCGGUGCUGCACACACAUCCAGGACAGUCCUGAGGUGGGGGCCUCCUGAUUCCCCACCUUCCUGCCCUGGGUCCUUGCUGAUGGGUUGGCCAUCCCUGGCUCUCUGGCCCAUUGUGUGCGGCCCGUUGAGUCAGUCUGUAAAGUCAUUCUCUGUGUUAUCCCCUGUCCCUUUAAAAUCAUCACAACCGCCGCUGAGAGUCUGCUAAGGACUAAACAGUUCCCGCCAUGGUGCAGUGGAUGGGGUCGCUGUGGAGGUGCAGGUUCGAUCCCUGGCCUUGCUCAGUGGGUUAAGGACCCGGCGUUGCCGUGAGCUGCGGUGUAGGCCGCAGACUCUGCUCGGAUCCCACAUUGCUGUGGCUCUGGCGUAGGCUGGCAGCUACAGCUCCGAUUAGACCCCUAGCCUGGGAACCUCCAUGUGCCGCGGGAGCAGCUCUAGAAAAG
rnacentral:lncRNA from 1 species